rnacentral:rRNA from 1 species
GCAUAUCAAUAAGCGGAGGAAAAGAAACCAACAGGGAUUGCCCCAGUAACGGCGAGUGAAGCGGCAAGAGCUCAAAUUUGAAAUCUGGCCUCCCCCGGGGGUCCGAGUUGUAAUUUGCAGAGGAUGCUUCGGGUGCGGCCCCCGUCUAAGUUCCUUGGAACAGGACGUCAGAGAGGGUGAGAAUCCCGUCUUGGGCGGGCGGUCCGCGCCCGUGUGAAGCUCCUUCGACGAGUCGAGUUGUUUGGGAAUGCAGCUCUAAGCGGGUGGUAAAUUUCAUCUAAAGCUAAAUACUGGCCGGAGACCGAUAGCGCACAAGUAGAGUGAUCGAAAGGUUAAAAGCACCUUGAAAAGGGAGUUAAACAGCACGUGAAAUUGUUGAAAGGGAAGCGCUUGCGGCCAGACUCGGGGGCGGGGUUCAGCGGGCGCUCGUCGCCCGUGCACUCCCCGCGCCCCGGGCCAGCAUCAGUUUCGACGGCCGGUCAAAGGCCCCCGGAAUGUGUCGUCUCUAGGGACGUCUUAUAGCCGGGGGUGCAAUGCGGCCCGUCGGGACUGAGGAACGCGCUCCGGCUCGGAUGCUGGCGUAAUGGCCGUAAGCGGCCCGUCUUGAAACACGGACCAAGGAGUCUAACAUCCACGCGAGUGUUCGGGUGUCAAACCCGUGCGCGCAGUGAAAGCGAACGGAGGUGGGAGCCUUAGGGCGCACCAUCGACCGAUCCUGAAGUCUUCGGAUGGAUUUGAGUAGGAGCGUGGCCGUUGGGACCCGAAAGAUGGUGAACUAUGCCUGAAUAGGGUGAAAGCCAGAGGAAACUCUGGUGGAGGCUCGCAAGCGGUUCUGACGUGCAAAUCGAUUCGUCAAAUUUGGGCAUAGGGGGCGAAAGACUAAUCGAACUCAUCUAGUAGCUGGUUCCUGCCGAAGUUU